rnacentral:rRNA from 1 species
GAUGAACGCUAGCGGCAGGCCUAACACAUGCAAGUCGAGGGGUAGAGGAAGCUUGCUUCCUUGAGACCGGCGCACGGGUGCGUAACGCGUAUGCAAUCUACCUUUUACAGAGGGAUAGCCCAGAGAAAUUUGGAUUAAUACCUCAUAGUAUCUUUGCCUGGCAUCGGGUGAUUAUUAAAGUUCCAACGGUAAAAGAUGAGCAUGCGUCCUAUUAGCUAGAUGGUAAGGUAACGGCUUACCAUGGCAACGAUAGGUAGGGGUCCUGAGGGGGAGAUCCCCCACACUGGUACUGAGACACGGACCAGACUCCUACGGGAGGCAGCAGUGAGGAAUAUUGGACAAUGGGCGCAAGCCUGAUCCAGCCAUGCCGCGUGCAGGAAGACGGUCCUAUGGAUUGUAAACUGCUUUUGUACGGGAAGAAACACUCCUACGUGUAGGAGCUUGACGGUACCGUAAGAAUAAGGAUCGGCUAUCUCUGUGCCAGCCGCCGCGGUAAGAC